rnacentral:lncRNA from 1 species
GGGAGCGACAAGAAGAUUAAAAGAGCGAGGAAGAGUUGAGGGCUGGCGGCUGUUCUCGGGGAGAACUGCUAGGAGACAGACAUUACUGUAGGAAAAGCUGUGCUCCUCUAACCUCUGUGUACAGACGUACAUCUUCCCAAGUAUCCAGAUCCUUUCCCAGUCCCACCUGCCCCCAUAACACGCCCCGCGCCCUCAGCCCAUUUUCUGAAAACUCUGGAGCUCCAAAGCUACCCAGAGAGAGCUAAAGAGGCCCGAACUGGGGAGUGGGGGGGGGGCGCAGCUCAUCAGUCCUAAAGGGAAGAGGGGGCGGAGGCAAAAAGGGGCAGCAGUAGGCGGACUGGGGUCGGGGGGGGGGUAUCUUGAAACUACCCCGACAGGGAUUGGGGGAGCAGCGUAUAUUCGCUCGUAGGAACGGCGAUCGCAACAGUGCCAGAGGUUAUCGUUUGAGAAGCAAAAGUGUUGGCGGCCCCCCGAGCUCUGGAAGCCGAGAGGAGGAGGAGGCGCGCAGCCCCGGCGGCCAGGCUGGGCGGCCGGCACAAAGGAAGCGGACUCGCGGCGGCGGCGGCCCGCGGCCCUGCUGCACCGAAGUCCCGCACCGGCAGCCAGGAAUAAAGUUUACAUUCUCCGGAGACCGCACCCCCCACCUCCCACCCAGGACCGCGUCCUCCUCCCCCAAACUCCGCUCGGGACCCCGAGCACCGCCCCAGCCUUCCAGCCAGCACAACAAAGAGACACACCGACCGGCGAGGGUAAACAGCCGCUGAGGGCGAGCAGGGCGGGCAGGGCGAGCGCCGCGAGACCAGCAACUCCGGAGUCCCCGCUCGCAGGAGCGUAGUUUCUCCUGUUCUGCUGCAGCCGGCUCGGUAACAUUUGCAAUUUUCGACUUCACCCGCACCCCUCACACCCGAACAUUUUGAACUCACCUUUACUUUCGAACUGAGAGUUGCGGUGGGUGGGAUUUUUGUCUUCCCCAGAUGGUUGAAGGUUACGAUUUUUGUUUUUGGAAACCCUACCACCUCCUUAUCUCGAUUAUUAUUUUUGCAAGAAAAGUAUAAAGAGAGUUGGAGUGGAGGUGAGAUUUGUGAUCGGGAAAGCCCUUGACUCCCUCCUUCUCCGCCUUCCGCCUCUCUCUGAUUAGUUCCUAUCCAGCAGCAGAUUGAAGCAGGAGAUGAUUCUUCUCAAGGUUUGUUCAGCAGCUUCACUUCUAGGCGAAGGCUUCAUGAACCAAGUGACGUCAACCAACAAGGCUUCUCUCUCUCUCCUCUCUCUAACAAUGAAAGUUGCUGUUAACAAGGGAAAAAAGAGAGAGAAUUGUUUAUACCAUUUCAGUUCCAAUAAUAAAUGACCUAUCAGCUCCUAAAGGAGCCAAGGGAGGGAGGGGGGUUGCUUCUUUCUCCAAGAAUACUAUAGCUUCGAGUUUGCAACCGUUCCUUGUCCCAGGAAAAAAGUUAAGAAACUAUUUUUUUUUUUUUUUUGCUUUCAAAAGUAGGGCAGAAAAUAGGAUUGAAAACCUAAUUUUAAAAAACGUAAACUGGAAAAUAGGGAGCAUAAAUUAAUCAUUCUCACCUAAACUUUUUUUCUCGUAAACUCAUAAUUCGGUUGAAGUCUGUAAACCAACUAAAUUAAUAUGCCAAGAAUUCAUGGAUGUUUGGAACUCAAAAAACAGGACGCAAGAUGGUCCGGGAUAAAACGCUAUUGCCCAAACACGGGCAAAUUAAACUAGCUGUAGUGUUGAUGCACUGAAAUAAAUUUAAAUAAAACGUU